rnacentral:rRNA from 1 species
GACGAACGCUGGCGGCGCGCUUAACACAUGCAAGUCGAACGCUGAAGCUCAGCUUUUGUUGGGUGGAUGAGUGGCGAACGGGUGAGUAACACGUGAGUAACCUGCCCCCUUCUUUGGGAUAACGCCCGGAAACGGGUGCUAAUACUGGAUAUUCACUGGUCUUCGCAUGGGGGUUGGUGGAAAGGGUUUUUCUGGUGGGGGAUGGGCUCGCGGCCUAUCAGCUUGUUGGUGGGGUGAUGGCCUACCAAGGCUUUGACGGGUAGCCGGCCUGAGAGGGUGACCGGGCACAUUGGGACUGAGAUACGGCCCAGACUCCUACGGGAGGCAGCAGUGGGGAAUAUUGCACAAUGGGCGCAAGCCUGAUGCAGCGACGCCGCGUGAGGGAUGGAGGCCUUCGGGUUGUGAACCUCUUUCGCUCAUGGUCAAGCCGCAACAAUGGUUGUGGUGAGGGUAGUGGGUAAAGAAGCGCCGGCUAACUACGUG